AUAUCACACAAUGUAUUUAACAUACGUCACAAUCAUCAGCCGCAAACAAACUAAUUGAUCGAAGUAGAUGGUUCGAUCAGUUUGUACGGGUGAAGGAUUUGGUGGAAGUUCCGAAUUCACAUGUUUAUGGAGAGCUACAGUUUAUAGGAUUCGUAUAGAACUAAAGAACAAACAGAAUUUAUGAUACCAAAAAAAAAACAAAUAGAAAAAACAACGAGGAAUAGUGAUUAUCUAAAACAUCUCAAACUGUGGUUGGUAGUAUCGGCUGUUACUUUGUUUGCAUUUUUACGCCCUUUUCCAAUCUGAUUUUUAAGGCACGGCCAGUUCCAAUCACGGGCUAUACCCACCCCCAGUGGAGGGAGGAUGGUGAAGGACGAGAUCGCCGGGGCGGUCUCAGAACCCGAAAAAACUUUCCGCCAGUUGCCGGAUCCGGGACGCGAACCCAGAUCUUCCUUCGUAACAUGCCAACGCAUUUCCAGUGGGCCAUCCAGCCACUUUAGUCACAGAAACGAUUCAUCAUGGAGAAUAAAAACAGUUUGUGUUUACAAAGAGAAAUGUUUAUUUCACAAACCAGGAUUUGACUGCAAUGUCAUAUUAAGUUAAACUGACU
rnacentral:lncRNA from 1 species